rnacentral:RNase_P_RNA from 1 species
AGCCAGUUGGACAAUCGCUUUUUUAAAUUAAAAAAGAGGAAAGUCCGGGCUCUACAGGGCAAAGCGCCAGGUAACGCCUGGGAAGUGUGAACUUACGGAAAGUGCCACAGAAAAUAAACCGCCUAAAAAAAUAGGUAAGGGUGAAAUGGUGCGGUAAGAGCGCACCGCGCGAUUGGUAACAAUCGUGGCAGGGUAAACCCCGCUUAGAGCAAGACCAAAUAGAAACUUAUGUUUACGAACAUGCAUGGCCCAUGCAAAGUUUGGGUAGGUCGCUUGAGGUCUAUGGUGACAUAGACUCUAGAUGAAUGAUUGUCCACGACAGAACCCGGCUUAUAGACUGGCUUUA